AAAAAAAAAAGGAGGGGAGAAUGUAGGGGUGUUUGGUCGUAGUAAUUAUCUUAUCUUUUUUGUGGAUUUGCCGCUCCCAUAGAAUAAACACCAAAAGAUACUGCCUUGUUUGGUGGGCCAUAAGAAAUAAACAAAUUUGUCUACAAGUGGGUAGGAAAUAUUUCUCUCAACAACGUAGAAUUUUUUGGGCCCGUGCGCAGUAAAUUACUCCUAAUUUUUUUUUUCAAUUGAAAAUAGAAAAGAACUGAAGUUAUUAAAAAUGAAAAAACUUUGUGAAAACAUUAGACAAGGGCAAACGUUACUUUUGAAUUAUUACAAGAUAAUGAAGUGACAUAAGAAUGUCUUUAAAGAUAGUAAUCCGUUUUGCAUGAAUUAAAAAUUUAAUGGCAAAUGUGCUUUGAUAUAGAAGAAAGGUAACUGCUCAUCAGCAGAUUUUAGUGUAAUUCACUUCUCUUGCACAAGACAAAUGAUAACAACGUACUUAUUAUGGACACAACUUUUAUCUAGUGCAGUACACGUUAGAAUUUGGAUAAAUUUCAAUGUGUUCAGUACACUGAUACAGUGUAAUAUACAUUGGGAGACAAUUAUCUGAAUUCUAAUAUAUCUAAUCCAUUGAUGCUCUAGACACAAACUUUUAACUCUGUUAGUACAAGCACAAUGAGAUUGCGAGCCUUAAUCCAAGGGAUUGCUAGUAUUGGUUGUGUGGGAAAUGUGCUUUUAUACACUCUGUAAGCUUUGAUUUAUUUCCUAUUAUAAUUUGCACAUUCAAUAACUAGGAAUUUAAUUUUCAUUUUUGCUCUGUCAAGUGUGUUUGUGUAUUCAAAUUUAGUUUUCGUUCUUGUCGUGUCUAUCUAGUGUAUGUGACAGUGCAAGUGUAUUCGCCCUUGAAAGCUUCCAUGUCUAUGUUGAAAGGGAAGGCUUGAAUCCUUCGAUUAUGUUUAAUAUUGUUAUUUAACUUUGCAAUGAAUGAAUUAGAGUAGAUGCAAGGCAAUGCCACAGUGUUUUGAUUAGUACUUACCUAUGAACUUGAAAUAUGAGCUUCGAUGGAAUUGGUUCUUGUUGUUUCAAAUUGGGAUUCAUUUAGGGCUUAGUUGGGUGUUUUUGAAACAGCCUAGAACAGAGUCUAAAUAGAGAAAUCAAAGAUCUAGUAUGAGAACUAGGCUUUUAUAAAUUGUAUUCCUUCCUUUGAUUGGGCUGUUGAUACCUUCUAAACUCUAAAGACACUCUACAUCAGCUUGAAUUUUUUUUCUUGUCUUGGCAUUAAUCGCAUUACUUGGUCUGCCAAGAAAAAAACUCACACUAUUUUACUUCUCCACUGAAGUUGAAUACCAAUCAUUGCUUUCACUGCUACUUUAGUUAUGUUGGCUUUGUACAAUUUUGUAGGGCUUUGGGUGUUUUCAUUCAUCAUAUUCCUCGGAUUUGGCGUGACAAUGUUUCAGCACUAGCCAUUGCCACAAAUCAUGUCCAGGGGCAGAACAUAUAUGAAUUCAAAACAAAUCAUGAAGAAUGGGUAAAUUUAGUCAAACCCAAGCUAGGACCUGAUGUGUCUGAUCGAGUUCUUGCAGCAAUUAAUACCACACACGAGAACAUUAAAAUUUUAUAUAAAGUCAGAACUGAGAUGUGGGCUGCCCUUCAAAAUCUCUUAAAGGAGAUUGGAAGCUUGACUUUUGACAAAGAUGAUCAGUUAGUUAAGGAGUUUGUUAUUGCUGCUGCAAAUACAAGGAUGUCUUCUUUUUUGUACCUCUUUGCAUAGCCUUUUUAAAGCCAAAGGUCCAGAACAACACCAUAUACUGAAGCUGAGGGAUGUGUAUGGAAGCCACUUUAGUAGACAAUGACUUGCGUUACAGAUGUGCUCUUGUGAUUCAUGGAAUGCAAUCAUGUCAUUUUGUAGGAGGUUAAACAAGAAUGAAUGAUCCACAAGAGACACACACUUUGUUCCAAAUCAGUUAUGAAAUGAGGUACAUUGUUUAUGAAAUAAGGUACCCAAACUUUGUUCCAAAUCAAUUACGUUCAGUUUCUAUUUAUAGCAUGUGCACAAUUAUUUAUUUUUAUUUAUUGCAUUUCUUUUAGUUUUAGAUGGUUCUAAUUUGGUCAGUUUUAAUUUUAAGAAAUGAGUUUAUUCAAUUAUAAGCGUUUUCUUAUUUGAAUUUGAAUUUGAAUUUUGGAAAUGUUAAUAGAAUAAAUUACCUCCUUUAAAAUGUUGAAAGUUCAGUCCAAUCAUUUACUUUCACUUACCAAGUUUGCAUCUAUACAUUUGUAAAUUGCUAAUAUGUGACUUUUUUUGUGCUGGUUUUAUUUAUUUAUUUUUUUAGGUAGGUGCAUUUUCUUCCUAAAAUGAACUACCCUUAUUUGGCUUUUUAUUCAAGUUUGGCACUUACAACAAUGACUAAUGGACGACACUUUUU